CCUGUUUUAAUAACUUGUAUACCAGGUAUACAAGCUCUAAAAAGACAUUAACAAUAUGUGUAUCUUCAUCAUAACAUUUAUUCAAAGAUUUCUAUAUACUGUACACA